GACUGCAAUGGUGAAUGCGCUUGCAUGGUUGAAGUGAACAUCCUGUGGUGCAUUGAUGACGGAAGCGAACACUACUUACUUGCUAAAUGUAUUUUCCAAUAUUUGUAUAUAAUAAACAGCUACUUUAAAGUCGGCAGUUUUAUUUUUCAAAUAUGAAAAUAGUGAGAGAAUAAAACAAAAAUUAUUU
rnacentral:sRNA from 1 species